rnacentral:rRNA from 1 species
UGAGCGACGGGUGAGUAACACGUGGGCAAUCUGCCCUUCACUCUGGGACAAGCCCUGGAAACGGGGUCUAAUACCGGAUAACACUCUGUCCCGCAUGGGACGGGGUUAAAAGCUCCGGCGGUGAAGGAUGAGCCCGCGGCCUAUCAGCUUGUUGGUGGGGUAAUGGCCUACCAAGGCGACGACGGGUAGCCGGCCUGAGAGGGCGACCGGCCACACUGGGACUGAGACACGGCCCAGACUCCUACGGGAGGCAGCAGUGGGGAAUAUUGCACAAUGGGCGAAAGCCUGAUGCAGCGACGCCGCGUGAGGGAUGACGGCCUUCGGGUUGUAAACCUCUUUCAGCAGGGAAGAAGCGAAAGUGACGGUACCUGCAGAAGAAGCGCCGGCUAACUACGUGCCAGCAGCCGCGGUAAUACGUAGGGCGCAAGCGUUGUCCGGAAUUAUUGGGCGUAAAGAGCUCGUAGGCGGCUUGUCACGUCGGAUGUGAAAGCCCGGGGCUUAACCCCGGGUCUGCAUUCGAUACGGGCUAGCUAGAGUGUGGUAGGGGAGAUCGGAAUUCCUGGUGUAGCGGUGAAAUGCGCAGAUAUCAGGAGGAACACCGGUGGCGAAGGCGGAUCUCUGGGCCAUUACUGACGCUGAGGAGCGAAAGCGUGGGGAGCGAACAGGAUUAGAUACCCUGGUAGUCCACGCCGUAAACGUUGGGAACUAGGUGUUGGCGACAUUCCACGUCGUCGUGCCGCAGCUAACGCAUUAAGUUCCCCGCCUGGGGGAGUACGGCCGCAGGCUAAACUCAAGGAUGACGGGGGCCCGCACAGCAGCGGAGCAUGUGGCUUAAUUUCGACGCAACGGCGAAGAAACCCU